GUAUGGCCGAAACCAAGAACCCUGUCUUGGCCGAUCCCACUCGCCACUAUUCUCUCCCCAAACUUCACUAUCUCCUCCCCCUACCACCAACAUCUCUCCCCAGCCGUUAACCGUUACCGCCUCCAAAUCCUCACGGAGCGCCACCUCCCUCUCGUUCCUCCCCCAGUCAACCUCUCCAACUCAUCCCCUCCUUUGCAGGCCCUGACCAUCACUGUCAAAGACCUCGCCGCCCCACUCCAACACUCCGUUGACGAGUCCUACGCCCUUGCCAUCCCCACUGCUAGCUCCACCGCCAAUCUGACGGCCGAGACUGUAUGGGGCGCCAUGAGGGGUCUCGAGACGUUUUCUCAACUGGUCUGGGGAUCGAAAUCAUUGUUGUCCCUGUUGGGCUCGACGUGUGGGACUCGCCUCUGUUUGAGCAUAGAGGGAUCGUGUUGGAUACCUCUAGGAAUUACUACCCAGUGGAUGACAUUUUGAGGACCAUCAAAGCCAUGAGUGCUAAUAAGCUCAACGUUUUCCAUUGGCACAUUACCGAUUCUCACUCUUUUCCUUUAAUGCUUCCAUCUGAGCCUGCUCUUGCUGCCAAAGGGUCUUAUGGGAAUGACAUGCUCUACUCUCCAGCUGAUGUUGCAACAAUUGUUCGGUUUGGUUUGGAGCAUGGCGUCAGGGUUCUACCGGAAAUUGAUUCUCCAGGUAUAUUGAUUAUUUUCAUUAAUGCCCCAAGUUUAAUCAAUCGCUCAAUUCAUUAGGAGAUCGGGAAUAUAUAAUUAAUUAAUUACAUGCUCUAGUGACUAGAGUGGCAAACAUCAUGCCACAGCUGAUUUUGUUAAAUAUCAAGUUUGUUAGAUAUCUUUUUUUUUUGGAUAAGGUUAGAUAUCAUGAUCAUACAAGUUCUUGAUUGAUUUCCUCAGCAAAUUAUUAAUCUGGCACUGCAGAUGCCGAACUCCCUACCGGGACAUGGUGCCACAUUUGUUUAUCAGAUCAAACAAAAGAUGCAUAUAUAUAUAGCCAGAAACUUCAUUUCCUAUCUAAAAUGAUAUGUGAUUGUGUACAGUAUGUAAUCCCUCACUCAAUGUACAAGUACCAGGAAUUUAGGAUUAAGCAUUUCUCCUAUAAUAUAUAGACAACGUGUCGAUGGAUCAAUUUGAUGCUGAUGCUGUAUAUUAUAUAUUUGGCUUUAGUUUGAACCUGAAGGUUGUUAGGUUCCCUUCACAGAUUUUUCUUCUUUUAAUGACAGAGAGACAAUAACUAAAUCAGCUCUAACUCAGCAUUUUAUUUGAUGCACUUUUGCUUAACCUUAUUCGAAUUUGUAAAGCAUCUGGGACUUCCUUAAUUGUUUUAAGAAAAAGCUAUACACAGACCAAGCAAUUUUGAAUUCAAAAAAGUUAGUUUCUUGCAAUGUGGUCCAGUUAAUGAUGAGAUUGUAAUUCUAUUCCCCGCCAACAUCAUCUUUUUUGCUCUCAUUCUAAGGCUCUUUUAUGCCAAGUUAAGAUUUUUAAAAACUUACAUUUGUUCUUAAGUUUGAACUAGUAGAGUGUGAGAUGCAAUAGGAAUGUUAAUAAGAAAAAUGAACUGGUAAAAUCGUUUGAACCCAAUGGGAAGAGUUGGUUUCUUGUAACUAUAACGCGAUGGAGGAGUGAAUUUAUCAUCCUUUUUUAUCUGGUUCUUGGUUCAAAGGCUAUUUGAAAGACCUGACUUAUAGGAAUUAUUGGUAAUUGCAGCACAUACAGGAUCGUGGGCUGAAGCGUAUCCAGAUAUCGUGACUUGCGCAAACAUGUUCUGGUGGCCGGCUGAAAGCAAAUGGGCUGACCGGCUUGCAUCAGAACCAGGAACUGGCCAGCUAAAUCCUUUGAACCCAAAUACCUACCAAGUUCUAAAAAAUGUGAUUGGUGAUGCAGUUGCCUUGUUUCCUGAACGGUUUUUCCAUGCUGGAGGUGAUGAGAUCAUCCCAGGCUGUUGGAAAGCUGACCCGGUCAUUCAGUCCUUCCUUUCCAAAAAUGGAAGUCACAGUCAACUCCUUGAGAAAUUUGUGAACUCAACCUUCCCUUACAUUGUGUCCCUCAAUCGCACGGUGGUUUACUGGGAAGAUAUUUUGUUGGAUGCCAAUGUCAAGGUGGACCCUUCAUUUCUUCCACCUGAGCAUACCAUCCUACAGACAUGGAAUAACGGUCCCAACAACACAAAACUGAUCGUUUCUUCUGGUUACAGAGCUAUUGUCUCAUCAUCAGAGUUUUAUUAUUUGGAUUGUGGGCAUGGUGGUUUUCUUGGGAAUGACAGCCAAUAUGAUCCACCACCAACAAGUGGUGACAGUGGCAAUGGUGGAUCAUGGUGUGGACCUUUCAAAACAUGGCAAACCAUAUAUAACUAUGACAUAGCAUAUGGAUUGACUCCGGAGGAGACCAAAUUGGUGCUAGGGGGUGAAGUAGCAUUAUGGUCAGAGCAAGCAGACCCAACAGUUUUGGACGUGCGGAUUUGGCCAAGAGCUUCAGCAAUGGCUGAGACUUUAUGGUCAGGGAACAGAGACGAGUCAGGCAAGAAGAGGUAUGCAGAGGCAAUGGAUCGUUUAAAUGAGUGGAGACAUAGAAUGGUCAACAAAGGAAUCAGAGCUGAACCACUUCAGCCUCUCUGGUGCAUCAAGAACCCUGGCAUGUGCAACACAGUUCAUCCAAGUGAUUAGAUAAGUGUGGGAUUUUUGUUGACCUUGUAAUUUUAUGUAAUUGAAUGUCCAAAUCAAUAUCCAUUUCUGCUAUCAGAACAUAGAUUUGCUGGAUAUGGAUGGAUAUGUGUGUGAACUUAUUUAAGAGUUACCAUAAUAAAAUUUAUUUUGAAAUGAUUUUUUUUUUCUUCGAAGACAGAAUGGAAUUUCAAGUUAAUGCUUCUUUAUUUUGUUUAGUCUAAUGAUUUUAUUCAUUAGUUUCAUUUAUACCGCCUUCUUAAAUUUUCAACUUUGGAGGGAUAUCAGUAAUUAUAGUGUACUUAAGACGAAUUCAACCCUUUAUAAAAUUAUUGUCUCCUUUCACAGUUGCGCAUUCAUACUGCUAGUUCUUAAGAGAAUGUGGGCAACUCAGUGUUUAAAGUCUUGUCUUCCCUUACUAACCAAAUCUGGAUAACUAUUUGAUGAUUGCUGAUCUUUUCUUUUAUCGUUAUCAGUGAAGGAAAGGUAUGUUUUUCUUUUGAUUUUUCGAGUUCUCUUUCUGUUUUUGUGUCUUUAUUCUGUUACUGAACCAAAUGGAAUAUUUAAAUGACUCGUUUCCUUUUGGUCGGAACCAGUUGUGUUAAUUGUCAGUAAGAUGCUUCAGAAUUACUUUGUGAGUAAUGCACUGUAUUUAUGCUCUUGUAAUUGACCUAAUCAAAUGUGUCUUUUCUUUUUAAACUCCUCUAAGACACCUUCGUCUACUUGAUGUAGCCUGUUCCUGUUUGGUGUCUUGAGCUUAUAUGCUUAGAAGCAUCAAGCAACAGCAAAAAUUCAAUCCAGAGAAAAAAAAAAGGAAAAGAAAUAAAGAAACAAAGUACAAAAACUUCCUAAGUAGAAACUUCAACAUUCGUAGAUGAAGUUUUGUUGACCUUGUUUCAUUAGAAGCUGUAGAAUAAGUAGAGUUUCUCUGUUUGCUACAGAAGCUAUCCAUUAACUGUUGUCUUUGCUACCUUGUUCACUUUAGUAAUGGUUAUUGGAUCCCAGCCUCGCUUUUGGUUUUUCAUUUUUUGUUCCUACUGGUGUAUUGACCAUAUUGACAAUAUGGUGAUUGUGAACUUAAUUUGAAAAAAGGUAUAGGUAAUUCUGCUAGUCAUUUUUAAAGUUGUGUCUUAUUUUCUUUUGAAUGAAUUGUCCCUGCGCUUGGAACAAAGAUUUUGCAUUGCUUGUAUUUCUGUUUGAGUGCAGAAUUCAAUUAAGAAGGUUCAAGAAUCAAUGGACAUAAAAGUAUACAUGCAAGGCCCAGCUAGGAAGAAAUUUAAAGCAGUGUCAGUUGUUGCUAUUUUUAAUAGAAUUCAUCCUCAUGUAAGUGCAGUAUUUCAAUAUUUUGACACCAUACGUCUAAAUUCUGACCUCAUUGCAUUGUGUAUCGAGCAGAGCAUUGUCUCCAAUAACAAUAGAUUUGUGGUAAUAUUAAUGUGCUUUUAGACAUAAGCUAGUUUGUUUGGAUCAUUUCUUCCUUUUAUUUUCUUGCGCGCUCAUUAGCAACUGAAUCAUUGCAAUUUUAGAAUUUUCUAACCUUUCGUGUACAUAUGAGUAUCCCCCCAGGUUCGCUAUAAAAUUGAUACAAGUGUAAAGGGAAAUGCUCCAUGUUAGUCUUAUCUCACCUCCUCCGGCGCCAUGAACUCUCCAAGUGUAGUAGCGGCAGCAAUGGCUGCUCUGAUGAUGUUUCUUUUACUCACUCCACCUUCUGAUGCUGCAAUUUCUUGCAGUGAUGUAAUCAAGGACCUGAGGCCUUGUGUGAACUACCUCAUGAAUGGCAGUGGGAAACCACCUGCUGCCUGCUGUUCAGGAAUCUCAGCUAUUCAAGCUGCUGCAUCAACCACGGCUGACAAGCAGGCAGCUUGUAACUGCAUCAAGUCAGCUUCCAAGCAAAUAAAUCCAAACCCCCAGUUAGCACAGGCUCCUCCAGCUAACUGUGGAAUCACCUUGCCUUUCACUGUUUCACCCAAUGUUGAUUGCUCCAAGUAAGAUACAAAUGCCACCUCUCUAUUUCGAGUGCUUUUCGAUCAUGAGAAUUGAAGAACAUGGUCUUAGGUGUUUAUAAUUGUGAUAGACCAUGAAAAAUGAUGAGAAAGUGAGAAAUCUUGUUGAAAUGAAGUGAAAAGAAAACAAAAUUCAUAGUGGAAAGAGAAGCAUGUGGCCGGCCAAAAGAGGGGAUUUUUUUUUUAAGUAUUUAGAUACUAGUGAAUUGUGCAUAAUUAUGGUAUGAGAUUAUGGUUUAUGAUGAUCUGGAAUGAAAUGGAAACUUGCAUGUUUAGUUUUAAUGGACAUUUGCAUAUGUAAUGUGUAUAAACUUUAAGAAUGCUAAGGAAGAUGAUGUUCUUUUAUUAAACAACUGUGUUCAUUUUGGAGAAAUUACAUUUUUGGCAUUAAAUUAUUAAUUUUUAAUCUCUUGCCCACAUUAAAGUAUGAAAAGAAGAUGAGUUGUAUGGAAAUGUGAAUGAGGGGUAAGUAAAGAUGAAAUAAUUAAAAUGACUUGUUAGGCAUAAUUGAUGGAUUAUGUAGUGAAAGUGAUGAAGAAAACCAUACAUGGUUACAUUGUUGCCUAAAUAUGGUAGGCAUAAUUGAUGGAUUAUGUAGUGAAAGUGAUGAAGAAAACCAUACAUGGUUACAUUGUUGCCUAAAUAUGGUAAAUUUAUAUUUAUUUAGGAAGUGUAAACAUCAUGGGAGAUGUUAGGGGAUUGCCGGAUUAUGAUAUUCAGAAGGAUUGUUUGAUUUAAUGGUAUCCGUGAGGGAAUUGCUAGAUUAUAAUAAUCGAAAGAAUUGUCAAAUUUAAUAGUAUUCGUGAAGAGAUUGUUGGGUUAUAACAAUAAAAAAGAUUAUUGGAUUUAAUGGCAUCAAUAAAGAGAUUGCUCGAUUAUGAUAAUUGGAAAGAAUGUUGCUGUUGUUGGUAAUCAUAGAAGGAUAACCAGAUUAUGCUGAAAUAAUGUGUUCUCUUAAACAAAAAUGGUAUUUCGUUGUACAAAGUAUAAAUAUUAACUUGAUGAAUUAAUGUUAGUGCCAGGUAUUACUUAUAGUUUCUGCAUAGCAUAUGAAUAAUAAAUUUCAUGGCUUAAGUAAUUUAAUAAAUUAUGAUAACUUAUUUGUUUUAUUUCAAUUCCAUCAUAGAACAGACAUAAUCAAUGAAAAUUAGAGUAUAACUUAUUUUAGUGGGUACGAUGUAUUAAUGUAGUAUUGUAGACUUAAAUUGGCAUGUAAAUUUUAAUGGUGUGUAGGAUAUGUAAAUUAAAUCACUCUCUUUUGAAUAUUGUAAUAGAUAAAUUUAUAAGUAGUUUUCUAGAUGAUAUAAUGACAUAAUAAUGUGGUGUUUUGUUAAUUUUGGUAUGUGGGCUUGAAGUGUUGUGAAUUCUUAGUCAUUAUUUAUUUAGAAAUAAUUAUUGGUAUGAAAACAUACAUGUUGAUUGAGAUGUGAUAGAAGAUGAUUGGAUCAAGAUACACCGAAGAAUAAUUAAUUUUGGUAAUUAUGGAAGAAAAUAUUAUACAUGUUGAUUGAGAUGUGAUAGAAGAUGAUUGGAUCAAGAUACACCCAAGAGUAAUUAAUUUUGGUAAUUAUAGAAGAAAAUAUCGAUAACUUGAUAUGAAAAAAUAUAGAGAAAACUCUUUCAAAAAAAUAAAAACCAUAUAUAUAUAUGGUCAUCAUUUAUCAAUAAUUGUUUAUAUCGAUAAUAUUAUUGUAGGGGAUAUUUUUUUUUUCUUACUCGGGUAUUUUUAUAUCCUUUUAAAGGGUGAGACUAGUCUCGUUCCGGGUUUGUGACUACUCAUCUCAAUAAAUGUGCUUUCUAAAUAUCAAAUUUGUAUUUUUUUUUUGUAGGGAUAUAAUAAUAUCUUAACUAUUAAACUAACACUUCAUUCAUUAUUAUAAAAGGUGUUAUAGUUCUUAUCAGAGCAUUUCCUUUGAUUCGGUAGACUUACUCAACUUUACUUUUUGGUGAAUGUUGAAUGGAUGUAGGAUGUUACGUACUAGAGAAAGGAUCAACUCUAAUAUGUCUCCAACAUGACAGAGAGAUCAUGAUAUUGUAGCGAGGGAAAAUCAGGAGGAGGAUCCUUAAACAAAUACCGCUUCUCAUGCACUUGUCAUGCUAGUACAGUUAGAGCAGGGGAAGUCAGCAGGACUCCGAGAGGUGCCAAACUAGAUUAUUUAUUUAUUUUAUAUAUUGUAAGUAUUGGUAGUUAUAAAAUAAGUAUCUUAAAAGUCUUCAUAGAUUAAUUAAGUAUUUAACAAAAAAAAAACUAGAAAAAAAAUACCACCAUGAAUGCACCAAUUGAUAUAGUAAGUACUAGAUAACUCCCUGCACCUCCGACCAUAACUUUCUUACAUGUAAAAAAAAUAUGCUUGAAUUAAGAAAAAUUCGUUGAUGAUGUCAUUAAAUUCAACUCGAGUCGAAGAUGAAACUUUUCGACUAUACUUUUUGUCUAACUCAAAUUUCAAAUUAAAUUGUAUAGGAGUUGUCCCGGCAUGACCCGGUUAACUUAACGGGUUAAAAAAAACUCGAAUGAUUGAUAAAAAUAUGAUUUUAUUUUAAAAAUAUUUUCAAAAUAAUAUAUUUUUAAAAAAAAAUAUUGAGGUGAUAGCUUAUUGGAUAACCCCCGAUCAAUCUAGGCUAACUCAUCAAACUAGUGACUUGGGUUAUGAACUACAUUGAAUUUAAUAAUUUUAUUUUGAAAAAAACUAUUUUAUUUAGUUAUAUGAUAAAAUAUAGACGCAUGCAAAACAAAACACCAAUUCAAUAUCGAGAUGUUUUUAUGAGACUAUGAUAUCCAUGUAUAAAGAAAACUAAAAUAAAUAACAAAGUUGAAUUUUUAAUAAACACAAUGUUGAAAUAUAAGAAUUAAAAAAAAGAAAAAGAAGAAGAAAGAGCAAAAAAAAAAAACAUUCAAAGAUGAAACCGGAAAAAAUAAGCUAAAAAAAGGAGGAAGAAAUCAAGUAAAUCUGAGUGAAUCUUCUAAAUCCAUGUUAAUCUUUCAAAGUCACAAGCUGUUAAAUCCCACAUUUAAGCUCAACUAAAAAGCUCAAUAUGUUGAAGGGCGCUUUUUAAAAGAGCAAGAUCUAACAAGGAGCACACACAAAAAAAAAAUCCAAGGCAAUACCAAAUUAAUUUAAUAUUAAAAGAUGAAAUAAAUAAAUUCCUUUUAAAAUAGAUAGAUCUAGCAAAGAAACAAAUACCAGAGGUUACCCGUGUUAUUCUAAAAAAGUAAAAAAAAAUUCCAUUGUAAAUAAAAAAAAAUUACCGGAUGAUGAAACCAAAACAAAUUUAAAAAAGGGAUGAAAAAAACAAAGCAAACCUGUGCCAAUAUCCUAACUUCAAUUUAAUAUUUUAAACUGGAAAAAACCCAAGGAGAAUGAAAUAAAAAAAGAAACUAAUUUUAUCCAAUUAAAGGGACGGAGACCAGAGUAGAAAUUAAAGAGCGUCAUCAACGUCCAAGAAAGCAGCAAAUGGACAAGCCUUUUGCUAAGCUCCACCUACAAACAAACAAAAACUUCUUGUUACAAAACAUCUCUCCCCUGUAGCUUGCUCUUCCAUGGCUCGACUAUUUCAUUAACCAAUCCAAUUUAGCAAGCAUGACGACUAACUUGGUAAUAAGCAGCCGCUGUUCCUUCUUCUUAAUAUUGUUUUUCUUGCUAGUUAGUGCGUCCCUUACAGCAACAUCAGCUCAAUGGGUAUGGCCGAAGCCAAGAACCCUGUCUUGGCCGAUCCCACUCGCCACUAUUCUCUCCCCAAACUUCACUAUCUCCUCCCCCUACCACCAACUUCUCUCCCCUGCCGUCAAUCGUUACCGCCUCCAAAUCCUCACGGAGCACCACCUCCCUCUCGUUCCUCCCCCAGUCAACCUCUCCAAGUCAUCCCCUCCUUUGCAGGCCCUGACCAUCACUGUCAAAGACCUCGCCGCCCCACUCCAACACUCCGUUGACGAGUCCUACGCCCUUGCCAUCCCCACUGCUAGCUCCACC
rnacentral:lncRNA from 1 species